CUAAUAAUAAUUUAAUAAAUUUAAAAAAAGAUGAAAAAAAACAAACAGCUAAAAGUGAAAAAGAAGUGAACGCUAAGGAAGAAUAUUCAAAAAAUGAUGGCGAUAAAAAAUACCAGGACCAAUACGAUUGUAGUGAUGAAAGUGUAAACGUUUACGAAAAAAAAAGUAAGCAAAAUAUACAACAUAGUUUUGAUGAUAAAAUAGACAAACCCCCAAAUGAUGAUCCUAUGGGAAUUUCGAUAAAAAAGGGAGUAACAAUGAAAGAGGCAGGAGCAGGAGAAGGAGCAAGAGAAGGAGCAGGAGAAGGGACAGGAGAAGGAGAAGGAGCAGAAGAUGAAGAUGAUACGGAGCAAGAGUAUAACGAGGAAAAGUUUUAUUUAUUAAAAAAAAAUAAAUAUAAAAAUUUAGCUGUUGAUUUUUGCUUUGGAUCCAUUAGUGAAAAUAUAUCGUGGAUAGAAACGUGUUUAUUUGUUUUGUUAAAAAAUGGAUUGAUAUUAAUUUAUACUCCUGUAAUUACAAAAAAAUGUUGCAUAAGUUAUAAUUUAUUGUAUGAAUUAAAUGUAAUUAAAGAAAAGAGAAAAUUCGAACUAAAAGAAAAAUUAAAAAUGCAAAAACACACAAAAAAUAAACGCAAAAAAAAUAAACAUAGUAACAAAUAUUUUUCGCGUAUUUUAAAAUAUUAUAAUUAUUUCAAAGAUUUUGAAAUAACUAAAUAUAAAGAAAAAUAUGUAUGUAUGAAUUUUAAUAUAAGAGAAACAAAAAGAAAACAAAAAAGAAAAAAAGAAAAAAAAAAAAAAAAUUUUUUUAUGCCUUAUGUUCUUAAUUGUUUACACAAUUCACAGUACCGAUCAAUAAACUUAUUGUAUUAUAAUAAUUUUGUUAUAAUUUGUGUUUGUAAUAAAAUUGGGUAUAUAUCUUUUGUUUUGUUAAAUUAUUAUAUUAGUCCGCUUAAGUCGAUAUAUGGAGAAAGUAAUUUUAAUAUAGAGCAACUUUCAGAUUCAGAAAAAAAGGUAGACCAAAAGGUUUCACAUUUGCUCGAUGCUGAGUUAUAUCCAGAUUUAGAGCCAGAGUUAGAGUCAGAAUCAGAAUCAGAGUCAGAAUCAGAGUUCGAAAAAUGGGAAGACAAAAAGAAAGAAAGUUUUUUUUUUAACAUUUUUAAUAACAUUGAUAAUGUAUAUUUUGAUCAUAUGAAUACUUCGGAUUUUAAAAACUUAAUGAAUAAAGAAAAAAUUGAGAAGUAUAAGAAUGAAAUAAAAUAUACGUAUAAAAUGAAAUAUCUACUGGAUAAGUAUAAUAGAAAGAAUAAAGGAUUAUUUAAUGUUGAAAAUAAUAAAACUGUAAUUAAUUCUGACAAUGUUAUUACAGAUGUUGAUGGGAGUAAAAAUGAGAGUCCAUUAUGCAAAGACAUUGACGUUUCAAAUGACCAUGAUGAUAAAAAAAAAAAAAAAAAGGGUAAUGUUUCUUUUUUUAUUAAUAAGCUUUUAAAAAAAGAUACCACCAGUGGAAAUUCCACUCCUAGUGGGACUCAAAAAAAUACGCAGAGUGACACUAAGAAUGACUUUACAACUAAUGCAACAAAUGACCAUAUAACAGACACAACAGAUGAGACAACUCAUAACGUUACAGAAAACACUAUAGAUGAUAAUACAAAAAAUACUAAAGAUAACACAACUGAAAACGCUACUGAAAACGCUACUGAAAACACUACUGAAAACGCUACUGAAAACGCUACUGAAAACGCUACUGAAAACGCUACUGAAAACGCUACUGAAAACGCUACUGAAAACGCUACUGAAAACACUACUGAAAACGCUACUGAAAACGCUACUGAAAACGCUACUGAAAACGCUACUGAAAACAUUACCCAUAAUACUAAAGACAAUACCACUGUUGAUAAAAACAAAAAAAAAAAGGAUAUACAAAAAUUGUAUAAAGAUGAGCAAAUAGAAAUAAAGGAAAGCGAUUAUGAUGAUGAUGACACGUUUUUUUCAUGUUACGAAGAUGAAAAAGAUAUUCUAAAUAAAGAAAUAGAACAAGAAAUUAAUUCAGAUUAUCUUUUAUUAAGAGUGUUAUAUUUUCACUCAUAUUACACAGAAAUGUAUGACGUAAGAUGUAUAGUGUUGUAUAAUAAUAGUUUACUAUGUUUUAAUAAUAAUAAAAUUAUAGUAUUAAAUUUACUCUGGUUAAAAUUUCUUAAUGUUAUUUUACACUUAAUAUGUUUAAAAAAUAUAUUAACUGCAAAAUUACUACACGAGAUGUGUAAAAAUAGUUUAUAUAUGAAAGUAACUAUUUUCAAAUCAAAAAUAAAUUUUUAUGAAUUUGAUUAUUAUAAGUAUUUAUUAUUAGAUCAUAGUAAAAAAUUAUAUUACGAAAAUUUUAUAAAAUUGUUUAAAAAAAAAGAAAAUGUAUUACUUAAAGGACAUAAUGCUUGCUACAGUGAUAAUGCAUGCGAUGACUAUACAUACAGUAGUGAUGUUUGUACUAACUACAAAUUUAUCGACAGCACACGUAAUGGUAAUAAUAGACGUUAUAACACUGUCAAUAAUAUACACCUCAAUAGUGAAAAAAACAAGAAAAAUAAUUUUGAUAUUUUUCAAUCUAAUGUACUUUAUAAUGUACAAUAUGUUUUGUAUCCAAUAAUUAUUGAAGAUGAAGGUAACAUAACAAAUGACAGUUUGAACGAUUUAUAUUUUAUUUUUACUCAUUACGUAAAUUUAGAUUGUCAGAGAAAAGAAAAAUUAUUUAUGAAUGAAAAUAUUAAUUUCUUUACAUGUAAUAUAUAUAAAAAGUUAUUUUUAAUAUAUGAUUGUUUUAAAUUAAAUGUUUAUAAAAAUAAUGAUCAUUUAAUAACUCAAGAUAUACAGACCAAAACACAACUAAUACAAAAAAAAACUACUAGUAGUCCGAAUACUACUACUAUUGUUACUACUAAUAAUAAUAACAAUAUGGCUACUGUUACUACUGUUAUUAAUAAUAAUACUACUAAUAAUAAUAUUAAAAAAAAAAAAAAAAAAAAAAAAAAAAAUUACAAAUCUUUAUGUAUAUUAUCAAAACACACGAAUAUUAGAAAUUAUCUUAUUAAUGUUAAUAUAGUAGAUGAUUAUUCAACAGAUAUUAACAUAUACAAACAGUUAUAUUCUUUUUAUAUUAAUGCACAAUGUAAUAAUUAUGUGAAUGAAUUAAUUAAAAAGGAAUUUGUUUUUUUU
rnacentral:lncRNA from 1 species